GACGAACGCUGGCGGCGUGCUUAACACAUGCAAGUCGAACGGAAAGGCCCUGCUUUUGUGGGGUGCUCGAGUGGCGAACGGGUGAGUAACACGUGAGUACCCUGCCCUUGACUUUGGGAUAACUUCAGGAAACUGGGGCUAAUACCGGAUAGGAGCUCCUGCUGCAUGGUGGUGGUUGGAAAGUUUCGGCGGUUGGGGAUGGACUCGCGGCUUAUCAGCUUGUUGGUGGGGUAGUGGUUUAUCAAGGCAUUGGGGGGUAGACGACCUGGGAGGGUGGCCGGGGACAAUGGUACUGAGGUACGGCCCAGACUGGAACGGUACGCAACGGGGGAGAGUAUGGCAGAGCAGGAGGAAGCCAGAGAUGACAACGCCGCGAGCGGGAUAACGGGUUUCGAGUUGAAAACCGAUGUGGCCUUAAACGAGGAGAGAGUGACGGUAACUGAUAAAGAAGCAACGGCUAACUACGUG
rnacentral:rRNA from 1 species